rnacentral:lncRNA from 1 species
GUCCAGAGCUAGUAACAGCCACAGCAGGGACAAAGCCACCUGGGCAGCUGCUGGAGCCACUGGGAGUCACAGGCUGAGCCCCUGGGCCUGCUUCCUGUGCUCACUGCAAACCCCAGGUGAAGCCCCUCGAUGACUAAGCUGCCAGAUCUACAAAUCAGGAAUGGGGUCCCAGGCUCAGCAGCUCUUCUCCUGCCCCUGGGAGGAAGGAGAAGCAGAUAAGGGCCCCAGGAAGUCCCAGGAAAAAACAGAGACCAGCUGGAGGAAGGGAAGGCCCUGGAAGGCCUUGAACCCUGCCACCUCCGCCCCUCCUGGGAUAAGGUUCCAACACCCCACGGAUGGGCCCAGGGCCCCCCUGCAACUUCUCCACCGCCGCCCACCGGUGCAACGUGGGUGGCCUACCGGCUGCAGUGAUCAUCAUCCCAACCCUGCUCUCCUCGUCGUCUCUCCUGAUCAUCAGCUUCAUCUUAUGGAAAACUUGCCGCCGGUUGUCCCGGGUCACCCAGCCCCGCCUGCCAUCCACAUGAGGGGCCCAGGUAAGCCACUUAAGCACCUUCAGCCCGGGGGGGGGGGGGGGCGGGGAGGUUCUAGAUCAGUUUUAUUCUUUGUCUCUCAUAAGAGAAGAAAUUCUCCUUAUUGUCUUGCGGCAACAAGGGAUGAUGUACUGAGUUGGAUAAAGCCUCACAGAGGCCACAGCCACAUGUGUGGCCUCACAGUCUCCUGUACCUCUGUCCAGGUGCUGCUGGAUGUAAUCAUCAACUCCGCAGGUCAAGGAAGCCCAUUCAGCAGCCCCCGUAACUGUGGCUCUGGGUGA